CAGAGUUCACCGCGGCAACACUGGGGCCAUCGCCACGGCAACCGCGCUUGGCGAACGACUGCCGGGUGUUAAUAAGUCCUGACCUUCGGUCGAAGAGCCGAAGAAGGCUUCCAACAGAUUCGUGUGAGGCCACUUUGUGAACUACAGCUCUUCGCUGCUCUCGACGCGAAUGAUAAACGUCACCAGCCGCACUUGGAACUCCGGUACAGGCAUGGCGAUCUCUCUGCUCCACUUCACCGCUUUUUUCCAAGGGGAGGAUAAAAGCAUCGAAAGAGGUCCCAUGGGCUCUACCAGAAGGGGCGUGACUUCGCCGCUUCAUGGCUCCAAGAUCGGUUGGUGUAAUCCUUUUGGUGGAUGUGUUUUGAGACGUAACCCGGGGCGUCCAUGACUGCCUGGACUUCUGGGGUGGGAUAAGAGGAGGAGGUCCGCUGAUGGUGAUGGCGGUCUGUGUUAACGGGAACUAAUGGGAUUUCACCCUUGGACAAACUCCAUCUUUCGCCCACAGAGGCCAGACCUUGCACUAGUCUAUGCCCAACGCUCAUUAAUAUGCAAUACUUAAUAACUUUUGCAUGAACUGCAAUUGUCCACCUGGAACUCAGGAAAUACAUAAUAUAAAGAGGAACUAGCCACUAAGAUAUUAACCCGACCUCCUAGAAAUGAAUUGGCAUUGUAUAAUGUGGCUGGUGGCGAAAAGAUUUAUUAAAACGGCUUUGUUCCAAGGAUUCACACUCUCGCACGGUCAUGCAUAAGGCAAGGGAUGACUGCACAGACGCUGUGCCGGCUUGUAAUGACUUAUCACCCCCAUGCCUGCUGGUCACAUACGGGCCCUUCAACCCAGCUGUAUAUCUCUAUCUAUGCCACACCACCAUGGCACUCGGCUACCUUUGAGGAACUUUUGACUCCUACACCAAUUUCUAGCACAAAUUGCAGUUUUCCAUCUUUAAGCUUUUAAUGGGAGCAGCCAAUUAAAAGACUAGCCAGGCCCAAAGCACACUUCAGUAAUUUAUCUAGUCACUAAGAAUUCUUUCUGCACUUUCUGCACUUCCAAGUUCUAAUUUAGCCUUUUAAAGCUGGUAAAAAAAUAUAUAUUUUCAGUGAUUGCAUAUGUAAGCUAUGAUGAUGGUUUCGUAAGGGGGGGGGGGGAUUGCGUUUGAAGGAACUCAAACCCAUCGGAGCUUCCUCUGGAGUUUAGAUAAAACAUCUCCCGGUGAUGGAGGCCUUCGACUCAGAGCCGACGAGCUGUCCCGCGUCCGUAGCGUUUAGCGACGUUAAGACACUUAGGCUCGCUCCUCCUCAGAACACCGCUGCAUUUUUCAGGGGGGGUUCUGCGCCAGAGAACAGCAGUCGCUCCAUAAUGCCUUAAUGGUUUGGAAGCACUCUCUGGGCAUGUUGUUCAGAGCGUCGAGGGCCGUGGUUCCAGUCAUUAUAAAACACUUAGCGAGAUGGCUCUACUCGCGGGCCCCUCACGAGGACACUGGGGGUCCGUCCUCCAUCACCUCUGGGGCCCCGAACCUCGGGGUCGGACUCGUAUUGUGAAUCCACUCUGAAGAAACAUUUGGUUUGUUUUGGGUUUUGGAGCUUCGGAUAAAAAAUACUGAAAGCUUGUUUUUUCUUCUUUCGUCUUCAUGGUUGGAAUGUGAUUACCGACGACGUCAGGGUUUGUUUUUCCACCUGGGUUUGGGAAGCAACUGUAACUUUUACUGUGGAGCCUCCAAUUUCUACCUCUGCUCUGCAGUUACUGUGUUAGCCUGGCGGUUUAUCGUGCACUUUCAUGUUCUCAGACUUACUUGUACGGCGCUCUGGGGAAAAAGUGUCUCCUAAUUGACGAAAUGUGUUGUAAUAGUAA
ensembl:lncRNA